CCCGUUUCCACCGCCGUUGUUUCCGCCGACGGUCAAGCUAGUACCGCUGCUGUUCGUUUGAUUGCUACCUGGUAAAGGCACUCUCACCGUCGAUAACUGCAGUUGAAUCAGCAUCAUGUGAUCGCCCAACCGCAUCGUCAGAUUCAGAGGGUUCGUAGGAAAAAUAAAAAAGGAAGAUAGUUCCAUUCGAAAUAGAGGGGAAAGGACGAGGAUCGAUUAAAAGAAAGAUGAUCGAACGAAUCGAUGAAACUAAGCAACGGCAGAAGAUGAAAACAAGAAGACCUGCAGAAGGAAGGAAACCUCGUCGCAUCGAAGCUCAGAGACCCUCGAUGGCUCGGCUAGUCAUCCCUCGGCACACCUAACGGACUUCUUUCACGUUGACGCUAUCGCGUAUUUGGUAUAACUUGAUUUGUAUAUACGUUUUAAGAAAUUAUAUUAAACGCUCUAA